rnacentral:rRNA from 1 species
AUCNGGCUACCAUGCAAGUCGAGGGGCAGCAUUUCAGUUUGCUUGCAAACUGGAGAUGGCGACCGGCGCACGGGUGAGUAACACGNUAUCCAACCUGCCGAUAACUCGGGGAUAGCCUUUCGAAAGAAAGAUUAAUACCCGAUGGUAUAAUCAGACCGCAUGGUCUUAUUAUUAAAGAAUUUCGGUUAUCGAUGGGGAUGCGUUCCAUUAGGCAGUUGGUGAGGUAACGGCUCACCAAACCUUCGAUGGAUAGGGGUUCUGAGAGGAAGGUCCCCCACAUUGGAACUGAGACACGGUCCAAACUCNUACGGGAGGCAGCAGUGAGGAAUAUUGGUCAAUGGGCGCAGGCCUGAACCAGCCAAGUAGCGUGAAGGAUGACUGCCCUAUGGGUUGUAAACUUCUUUUAUAUGGGAAUAAAGUUUUCCACGUGUGGAAUUUUGUAUGUACCAUAUGAAUAAGGAUCGGCUAACUCCGUGCCAGCAGCCGCGGUAAUACGGAGGAUCCGAGCGUUAUCCGGAUUUAUUGGGUUUAAAGGGAGCGUAGGUGGACAGUUAAGUCAGUUGUGAAAGUUUGCGGCUCAACCGUAAAAUUGCAGUUGAUACUGGCUGUCUUGAGUACAGUAGAGGUGGGCGGAAUUCGUGGUGUAGCGGUGAAAUGCUUAGAUAUCACGAAGAACUCCGAUUGCGAAGGCAGCUCACUGGACUGCAACUGACACUGAUGCUCGAAAGUGUGGGUAUCAAACAGGAUUAGAUACCCUGGUAGUCCACACAGUAAACGAUGAAUACUCGCUGUUUGCGAUAUACAGUAAGCGGCCAAGCGAAAGCAUUAAGUAUUCCACCUGGGGAGUACCCCGGCAACGGUGAAACUCAAAGGAAUUGACGGGGGCCCGCACAAGCGGAGGAACAUGUGGUUUAAUUCGAUGAUACGCGAGGAACCUUACCCGGGCUUAAAUUGCAUUUGAAUAAUNUGGAAACAGNUUAGCCGNAAGGCAAAUGUGAAGGUGCUGCAUGGUUGUCGUCAGCUCGUGCCGUGAGGUGUCGGCUUAAGUGCCAUAACGAGCGCAACCCUUAUCUUUAGUUACUAACAGGUCAUGCUGAGGACUCUAGAGAGACUGCCGUCGUAAGAUGUGAGGAAGGUGGGGAUGACGUCAAAUCAGCACGGCCCUUACGUCCGGGGCUACACACGUGUUACAAUGGGGGGUACAGAAGGCAGCUACCUGGUGACAGGAUGCUAAUCCCAAAAGCCUCUCUCAGUUCGGAUCGAAGUCUGCAACCCGACUUCGUGAAGCUGGAUUCGCUAGUAAUCGCGCAUCAGCCAUGGCGCGGUGAAUACGUUCCCGGGCCUUGUACACNCCGCCCGUCAAGCCAUGAAAGCCGGGGGUACCUGAAGUACGUACCGCAGAGCUCC